UAUCCACUUCCCUUAAACACAGGCCUGCAAAACUAUCCUCUCUAUCCAGUACUGCGUAGAGCUAAUAUGGAUCGGGUUCACUGGGCAAUUCCUCAAUUACUGAAGACCCAACAGGAGUACUGCCAGAGCCGGACCCGUGAGCUUUGAUCUUGACUUUCUCCCGUGUGAAGUGUUCCGUCUACACUCGGCCUGCUUGUUUUGUUGAGUUAUUUCUGAAGAGAUUAAGUUACGUCGAUUGAUUUUCUGUUAAAGGCCAAAGGACCCGUUCUUUGGUCAGCAACGGCUGUGUAACAUGAAUCCCGAGAUUCACUUUGUAGAAAAGGGAGAAAAAUAAUAAAAGAAGAACGCUGAA